UUCAGAAAAUAGCAAACUGACUGAAAGGUCAGGACGCAAAGCUAUGGGUCUAAGUCUAUGUAAUAUAGAUAUGAUAGCCAAGUUGCCUAA
rnacentral:ncRNA from 1 species